rnacentral:lncRNA from 1 species
UGUCUCAAAAAAAAAAAAAAAAAAGAAAGAAAGAAAGAAAUGAAAAAUUAUUUGCUAAAAAAAGUCAUGAUGCUUUCGUGAGUAUACCUUUUUGCAGAGUUUUGACUUUUGAACCAUCUCAGUGUUUUAUAAACAGACACACACACACACACACACCCCUAAUGGUGAACACUCCCCUCCCCCAUGGAGUACAAAUAUAAACAAGUGAACAUAUCCAUAUAUCAAAUGGUACCAAAUGAAAAACAUAACCACACUGAAGAGAAAAAAGAACUAACUCAAACUUUUGCAUACAGUAUGUGGACUCAGAGUGCAAACAAAUAUUGAACUCUAGAUCCCUGGCUUGUUUUUCCCAGUGGUAGAGCUUAGUAGUUCUAACAUGUGUUUAUUUGUUUUGCUGAGUUCUAGAACUCAGUGAAUGUGAUAGUUCAUAUUGAGUGUCAACUUGAUUGGAUUGAAGGAUGCAAAGUAUUGUUCCUGGGUGUGUCCGUGAGGGUGCUGCGAAAGGAGAGUAACAUUUGAGUCGGUGGACUGGGAGAGGCAGACCCACCCUCAAUCUGGGUGGGCACUGCCUAAUCAGCUGCCAGCGCAGCUAGAAUAAACCAGGCAGAAGAUGGAAGAGCAGACUUGCUGAGUCUUCUGGCCUUUGUCUUUCUCCCGUGCUAGAUGCGUCCUGCCCUUGAACAACAGACUCCAAGUUUUUCAGCUUUUGGACUCUUGGACUACACCAUUGGUUUGCCAGGGGUUCUCAGGCCUUUGGCCACAGACUGAAGGCUGCGCUGUCGGCUCCCCUACUUCUGAGGUUUUGGGACUCAGACUGGCUUCCUUACCCCUCAGCUUGCAGACGGCCUAUUGUGGGACCUCACCUUGUGAUCGUGUGCAUCAAUACUCCUUAAUAAACUCCCCUUCAUAUAUACAUCUAUCCUAUUAGCUCUGUCCCUCUAGAGAACCCUGACUAAUCCAGUAAAUAAAUAUGCUGAGGAUAAUGGGAGCCAAGUUUCCUACUGUCAGAGAAAGCAGAUAUAGAUGUGGAAGGGGGGACAUAAUAAAUCCUAUGUUAUUGGAAUGGAAAAUAGGUAUUAAUGGUUUAGCUAAGUAUAAAUAUAGAUAUAGUACAUAUAAUACCUAUGUGGGGGGUUAUAUAAAUGUACAUAUACACAUAUUUUCUAGCUGUCUGCUGUGAGGGUCUAGAAGUAAUACCCCAAUUUUGUUUUUGUAUUUUGUUUUCUAAACACCAUUUUCCACUAAAAAGAACCAGCAUUCCUUGAAGAAAUGGUUGAUUCAAGGGCUUGGGCAGGAAAAAUUCACAAUAAGCCUGGAAUAUUAUAUUGUACCAGAAAGUAAGAAAGGGCCCAAAGAAUGAUGGGGACAUGUCAGAAGAACUAGGAGG